rnacentral:rRNA from 1 species
GAUCCUGGCUCAGGAUGAACGCUAGCUACAGGCUUAACACAUGCAAGUCGAGGGGCAGCAUGGUCUUAGCUUGCUAAGGCCGAUGGCGACCGGCGCACGGGUGAGUAACACGUAUCCAACCUGCCGUCUACUCUUGGACAGCCUUCUGAAAGGAAGAUUAAUACAAGAUGGCAUCAUGAGUCCGCAUGUUCACAUGAUUAAAGGUAUUCCGGUAGGACGAUGGGAGUG